rnacentral:rRNA from 1 species
CUAUUAUUUUAAGUGUUAAUUUUUUUGUACCUGGGUACUAAUAGUUAAGUUCUUUAAACCCAAAGAAUUUGGCGGUAUUUCAUUCCGUUCAGAGGAACCUAUCUUGUAAUUGAUAGUACACGAUUUACUUUACUUAAUUUAUUUGUUUGUAUAUCUCCGUUAUCAGAAAAUCUUUUUGGAGUUAUAAUUUUCUUGUUUUUUUAUUGAGAAUUAUUUCAGGUCAAGGUGCAGCUUAUAAUUAAGUUUUUGACGGGUUACAAUAAUUUUUUAUUAUAUGGAUUUUUUUUUGUAAUAUAUUAAUGAAGGUGGAUUUGAAGGUAAUUUGAUUUAUUUAAUUUAAUUGAUAUUGGCUCUGAAGUGUGUACACAUCGCCCC